rnacentral:rRNA from 1 species
AGUUCGUUAUGGCUCAGAUUGAACGCUGGCGGGAUGCUUUACACAUGCAAGUCGAACGGCAGCACGGACUUCGGUCUGGUGGCGAGUGGCGAACAGGUGAGUAAUGUAUCGGAACGUGCCUAGUAGCGGGGAUAACUACGGCGUAGCUAAUACGCACGCCCUUCGAGGAAGCGGGGGACACGGGCCUCGCACUAUUAGAGCGGCCGAUAUCGGAUUAGCUAGUUGGUGGGGCAACUUGGCUCACAAGGCGACGAUCCGUAGCUGGUUUUGAGGAGGACGACCAGCCACACUGGGACUGAGACACGGCCCAGACUUCUGCGGGAGAGCGGCAGUGGGAAUUUUGGACAAUGGGAAACCUGAUCCAGCCAUCCCGCGUGUGCGAUGAAGACCGGUUGUAAAGCACUUUUGGCGGAAGAAACGGCGGGGAUAUGCCCCGUACGACUGACGGAUACCUGCAGAAUAAGCACCGGCUAACUACGUGCCAGCAGCCGCGGUGGCGUAGGGUGCAAGCGUUAAUCGGAAUUACUGGGCAAAGCGUGCGCAGGCGGUUCGGAAAAGAAGAUCAUGAAAUCCCAGGCUUAACUUUGGAACUGCAUUUUUAACUACCGAGCUAGAGUGUGUCAGAGGAGGUGGAAUUCCGCGAUGCCCGGUAAAUGCGUAGAUAUGCGGGAAGGCACCGAUGGCGAAGGCAGCCUCCUGGAAUGGCACUGACGCUCAUGCACGAAAGCGUGGGGAGCAAACAGGAUUAGAUACCCUGGUAGUCCACAUAUAAACGAUAUAAACUAGCUGUUGGGGCCUUGGGCAUACAUUGUACAACUAACGCGUCGAAGUUGACCGCCUGGGGAGUACGGUCGCAAGAUUAAAACUCAAAGGAAUUGACGGGGACCCGCACAAGCGGUGGAUGAUGUGGAUUAAUUCGAUGCAACGCGAAAAACCUUACCUACCCUUGACAUGUCUGGAAUCCCGAAGAGAUUUGGGAGUGCUCGCAAGAGAACCGGAACACAGGUGCUGCAUGGCUGUCGUCAGCUCGUGUCGUGAGAUGUUGGGUUAAGUCCGCAACGAGCGCAACCCUUGUCAUUAGUUGCUACGAAAGGGCACUCUAAUGAGACUGCCGGUGACAAACCGGAGGAAGGUGGGAUGACGUCAAGUCCUCAUGUGGCCAUAUGGGUAGGGCUUCACACGUCAUACAAUGGUCGGGACAGAGGGUCGCCAACCCGCGAGGGGGGGGCCAAUCCCAGAAACCCGAUCAUUGAUCCGGAUCACGGUCUGCAACUCGACGUGAAGUCGAAUCGCUAGUAAUCGCGGAUCAGCAUGUCGCGAGUGAAUACGUUCCCGGGUCUUGUACACACCGCCCGUCACACCAUGGGAGUGGGUUUUACCAGAAGUAGUUAGCCUAACCGUAAGGAGGGCGAUUACCACGGUAAGUUCAUGACUGGGGUGAAGUCGUAACAAGCG